CGAGAAUUCCCUUCAAAUACGAUUUUGACGUUGAUGUUAUUUUGUUCCAAACGACAACAAAAUUUACAUUUUCUGUUGUUUCCCAUUUUAAUUGCAGAGUGGGAUGAAACAGAUAGAUGAAAUUUGGUAUUAUUAUAUCAACAGCUACAAAAAUAUACAAAAUCUUCUGCAGACCAAUUUUUAAUAUAAACACAUUAUACAGAACUGAACUAGUGCCAAUAAGGAAAAGACUGCAAAAAAUUCCAAGGAAACUCUUCUAAAGUCUACACAACAUAGAACUAAAGUGACCAUUGAUGUGAAUAUGAUAGAAGUUGUUUAUUAUUAUUAUAUUUAUUUGUAGGUUGAUCAAUUAAUGUGAUUUGAUAAUAUGAAAGAGAAGUUUGUAUGAUGAGAUUGAAUUGAAAGUGCCCUUUUGUUACUAUGAAUAAGUAUUCAAAUUAAAACUUCUUAUAAUUAUUUUAUGUGAAUUGAGAAAUUUAUUGUUUGUAAUAAUGGAUUGAACUUUAAGAAAUUACAUUAAAAUAUCUAGAAAUGGAUUUUUAAAAGUACUACUAGCUUGUUUCAUAUUAAGAUUAGUUUGACAUUUCACCUGGAUAAUAAUUUCAAACUUUAAAUCAAUGUGUUAUGUGAAGGAUCAGGGCAAGAAAAAGAUUAUUUCAGAUUGUAGCAUCCCUUAUACUAUUAUAUAUAGAUCAUUCAGAAACCACUCAUGAAUCUCAAAAAAGAUUUCUCUUGGGGUUUCAAUACAGAAGGAUUAGGAUAUAAUGCAUAUAAUGGAAAUAUAAUAAAAUCUGUAUCAAAUUCUUUACAGCAUAGAGAAUUUUGGCUGUUCAACACAGUUGAGAAUACACUUUCAUUGAGUUAUGGGAAAUGAAAUCGUAUAAUCAAUACAGGAAGUAGUUUAUUGUAAGAAAACUUACAGUUGUUCAAAAUUAUCAAUAAUUAUAUUAUACAUAUUAUUAUAUAAUAUAUUAAUUUCAUCAAUUUAUGUAAAGGAUGUAUGUCAUAUUUUAUUUUGAUAUUGACUGGUUCUUCUAUCCACAUUUGAACAUUGUACGUCUCUUAUAUGUGUAACAUGCUGGUUCAGUUAGAAUUUAUUACCUCGAUUUUUUUGUCAAUCUCAUUUCAAUGUUCUAAAUUAUUUGCUAUGAAGUUCUAGUAGUCU